AUUUUUUUUCUAAUUUUUUUUGCUUCUUUGCAUUUCAGGUCUCACUCGCUCCGUUCAAUCGUCGUGUCUGGUGAUCGGAGCUCCGCCAUGGGUGAAGCUUUAUUUGAACUUGAACAAGUUCUCAGGUCCAAACAGACUAAGCUAGGCACCGAGGCUAUUGCAGACCCUCUGGAUUGUAUUUUCGGUUCACUGGCCAGAGAAGAAGAAAUCCAACAUUUGAGUUAGAAAACACUGAACUCAAAAGUGGUAUUAUGAUUUUUUCAAAAGACAUCGUAUUAAAAAAUGUAUUCUUUACUUAUAAAUUCAUGAUAACCUUCGAUUAGCCAACGUAGGAUUGUAUUCCUCACUUAUAAAUUCAUGAUAAUCCUUGAUUAACCAACGUAGGAUUUCUUCCCAACAAUCCUCAACAUAGCACAUCACGUAAAUCUCAGUCUAGUAGUAUAAGAUAUCAUCGUCAGCAUCCAAAGCUUUGAACAUGUGUAAUUCCAGGUUCAAUUCAAUAAAAGAAGAGAUUAAGCAAUCCUGAACCAUUUAUUAUGUUUAUAACGUCCAUAUCCAUAGUGCAGUGUUGUCAUUUCCCUAGCACAAGAA